CGAGGGGCGAGCGCGAGUAGCAAUACUUGGCGGCGACCGGCGGCAAGGUGCGUAACGCGUGAGCAACAUGCCGUACUCAGGGGGAGUAAUACCAGGGAAACGUUAGGUCUAAUACCCACUAGUAAUUUUGUAAGGCAUCUUAUAAGAUUUAAAGCUUUGGUGGAUACGGAUUGGCUCGCGUGACAUUAGCUGGAUGGUAAGGUAACGGCUUACCAUGGCUAUGAUGUCUAGGGGUUCUGAGAGGAAGGUCCCCCACACUGGAACUGAGACACGGUCCAGACUCCUACGGGAGGCAGCAGUGAGGAAUAUUGGACAAUGGAUGGAAAUCUGAUCCAGCCAUGCCGCGUGAAGGAAGAAGGUCCUAUGGAUUGUAAACUUCUUUUGUAUGGGAGCAAUAAGGCCUACGAGUAGGUUGAUGAGAGUACCAUACGAAUAAGCACCGGCUAACUCCGUGCCAGCCGCCGC
rnacentral:rRNA from 1 species